rnacentral:rRNA from 1 species
UACAGAGGGUGCAAGCGUUGUUCGGAAUUAUUGGGCGUAAAGCGCGUGUAGGCGGCUUUGCAAGUCGGGUGUGAAAUCCCUCAGCUUAACUGAGGAAGUGCGCCCGAAACUGCAGAGCUUGAGUGCCAGAGAGGGUGGCGGAAUUCCCCAAGUAGAGGUGAAAUUCGUAGAUAUGGGGAGGAACACCGGUGGCGAAGGCGGCCACCUGGCUGGUAACUGACGCUGAGACGCGAAAGCAUGGGGAGCAAACAGG